GACGAACGCUGGCGGCGUGCUUAACACAUGCAAGUCGAACGGAAAGGCCCUGCUUUUGUGGGGUGCUCGAGUGGCGAACGGGUGAGUAACACGUGAGUAACCUGCCCUUGACUUUGGGAUAACUUCAGGAAACUGGGUCUAAUACCGGAUAGGAGCUCCUGCUGCAUGGUGGGGGUUGGAAAGUUUCGGCGGUUGGGGAUGGACUCGCGGCUUAUCAGCUUGUUGGUGGGGUAGUGGAUUACCAAGGCUUUGACGGGUAGCCGGCCUGAGAGGGUGACCGGCCACAUUGGGACUGAGAUACGGCCCAGACUCCUACGGGAGGCAGCAGUGGGGAAUAUUGCACAAUGGGCGGAAGCCUGAUGCAGCAACGCAGCGUGCGGGAUGACGGCCUUCGGGUUGUAAACCGCUUUCGCCUGUGACGAAGCGUGAGUGACGGUAAUGGGUAAAGAAGCACCGGCUAACUACGUG
rnacentral:rRNA from 1 species